UACGAAGGGGCUAGCGUUGUUCGGAAUUACUGGGCGUAAAGCGCGCGUAGGCGGCUUGCAGUCAGAGGUGAAAGCCCGGGGCUCAACCCCGGAAUUGCCUUUGAGCACUGCAUCGCUAGAACGUCGGAGAGGUAAGUGGAAUUCCGAGUGGUAGAGGUGAAAUUCGUAGAUAUUCGGAAGAACACCAGUGGCGAAGGCGACUACUGGACGACUGUGACGCUGAGGUGCGAAAGCGUGGGGAGCAAACAGG
rnacentral:rRNA from 1 species